rnacentral:rRNA from 1 species
UAGGGAAUCUUCCACAAUGGACGCAAGUCUGAUGGAGCAACGCCGCGUGAGUGAAGAAGGUUUUCGGAUCGUAAAGCUCUGUUGUUGGUGAAGAAGGAUAGAGGCAGUAACUGGUCUUUAUUUGACGGUAAUCAACCAGAAAGUCACGGCUAACUACGUGCCAGCAGCCGCGGUAAUACGUAGGUGGCAAGCGUUGUCCGGAUUUAUUGGGCGUAAAGCGAGCGCAGGCGGAAUGAUAAGUCUGAUGUGAAAGCCCACGGCUCAACCGUGGAACUGCAUCGGAAACUGUCAUUCUGGAGUGCAGAAGAGGAGAGUGGAAUUCCAUGUGUAGCGGUGGAAUGCGUAGAUAUAUGGACGAACACCAGUGGCGAAGGCGGCUCUCUGGUCUGCAACUGACGCUGAGGCUCGAAAGCAUGGGUAGCGAACAGG